rnacentral:lncRNA from 1 species
UUGAUUUUAAGAAAACUCAAAGAUGGCGGAUCCCAAAUAAUAAACACCACACAAAUCAUCAUCUGAGCAGCCGAAUAGUCCCAGGUGUCCCAAGUAAUAGAGAUCAAACUAGUCGAUAGCACACCUAUAGCCUUCCUAGCCUACACAAAUGCCCUCUCCAGGGUAGAUCUUGCCGACUAUCAAGAUGCCUCAAAGGUUUUCCUAUUCCUGACAAGCC